rnacentral:rRNA from 1 species
GAUGAACGCUAGCGGGAGGCCUAACACAUGCAAGCCGAGCGGUUUGGGUAGCUUGCUACCCAGAUAGCGGCGUACGCGUGCGUAACACGUGUGCAACCUGCCCCUAUCCGGGGGAUAGCCCUCCGAAAGGAGGAUUAAUUCCCCAUAAUAUAUCUGGUGGCAUCACUAGAUAUUUUAAACCCCGGUGGAUAGGGAUGGGCACGCGCAAGAUUAGAUAGUUGGCGGGGUAACGGCCCACCAAGUCGAUGAUCUUUAGGGGUCCUGAGAGGGAGAUCCACCAGAAUGGAAAUGAGACACGGACCAGAAUGGGACGGGAGGGAGCAGAGAGGAAUAUUGGAGGAUGGAUGGAAGCCUGAUCAAGCCAUCCCGGGUGAGGGACGACGGCGAUAGGGAAUGUAAACAACUUUUGUAGGGGGAUAAAAAUAUAUAAGUGUAGAUAGCUGAAGGUACCGUAAGAAUAAGCACCGGCUAACUCCGUG